rnacentral:rRNA from 1 species
AUUGAACACUGGCGGCAUGCUUUACACAUGCAAGUCGAACGGUAACAGGCCGCCAGGUGCUGACGAGUGGCGCACGGGUGAGUAAUGCAUCGGAACGUGCCCAGUCGUGGGGGAUAACUACUCGAAAGAGUAGCUAAUACCGCAUACGAUCUAUGGAUGAAAGCGGGGGACCGUAAGGCCUCGCGCGAUUGGAGCGGCCGAUGUCAGAUUAGGUAGUUGGUGGGGUAAAGGCUCACCAAGCCAACGAUCUGUAGCUGGUCUGAGAGGACAACCAGCCACACUGGGACUGAGACACGGCCCAGACUCCUACGGGAGGCAGCAGUGGGGAAUUUUGGACAAUGGGCGCAAGCCUGAUCCAGCAAUGCCGCGUGCAGGAAGAAGGCCUUCGGGUUGUAAACUGCUUUUGUACGGAACGAAACGGCUCUGGUUAAUACCCGGGGCUAAUGACGGUACCGUAAGAAUAAGCACCGGCUAACUACGUG